CCUACGGGUGGCAGCAGUGGGGAAUAUUGGGCAAUGGAGGCAACUCUGACCCAGCAAUGCCGCGUGAAUGAAGAAGGUCUUCGGAUUGUAAAGUUCUUUAAUCAGGGACGAAGAAGAUGACGGUACCUGAGGAAUAAGCAUCGGCUAACUCCGUGCCAGCAGCCGCGGUAAUACGGAGGAUGCGAGCGUUAUCCGGAUUUAUUGGGUUUAAAGGGUGCGCAGGCGGAUUUUUAAGUCAGCGGUCAAAUCGUGGGGCUCAACCCCAUCCAGCCGUUGAAACUGGGGAUCUAGAGUGUGCGAGAGGUAUGCGGAAUGCGUGGUGUAGCGGUGAAAUGCAUAGAUAUCACGCAGAACCCCGAUUGCGAAGGCAGCAUACCGGUGCACAACUGACGCUCAGGCACGAAAGCGUGGGUAUCGAACAGGAUUAGAUACCCUAGUAGUC
rnacentral:rRNA from 1 species